UACGUAGGGUGCGAGCGUUUGUCCGGAAUUAUUGGGCGUAAAGAGCUCGUAGGCGGCUUGUCACGUCGGGUGUGAAAGCCCGGGGCUUAACCCCGGGUCUGCAUUCGAUACGGGCUAGCUAGAGUGUGGUAGGGGAGAUCGGAAUUCCUGGUGUAGCGGUGAAAUGCGCAGAUAUCAGGAGGAACACCGGUGGCGAAGGCGGAUCUCUGGGCCAUUACUGACGUGAGGAGCGAAAGCGUGGGGGAGCGAACAGG
rnacentral:rRNA from 1 species